rnacentral:tRNA from 1 species
GCCCGGGUGGCUCAGUCAGUUAAGUACCUGACUUUGGCUCAGGUCAUGAUCUCAAAGUCUGUGAGUUCAAGUCCCACGUCGGGCU